GGGUGGUUCCUCCACCGGAGUUGUGAUCGUCUCCGACGAUUGAAGCAGUAGAGGACCUUGAUCUAUACGAGCAGCGUGACGUGGGGUGGUUCUGUUGACACGAGAUAUCUGGAGGUAGUAGGUAGUUGAUUGGAGUUACUUGGAGUAUGCUGCCAGCCGGUCCCACUUCCCGCGUUACAUCCGAGGAUUCUUACCGGUUUUUAGUUUUUUACUAUUCGCAUUCUACGUUUCAUGG